GAGUGAGAUGUCCUCAGGUCCUGCACACCAGGCUGCCCAGAGAAGGUCAGGAACAACAGCAGAAGGAAGCUGGGCUUCACUCCUGCGCACAGAAGAGCUGCAGAUGAGUUACAGGCAGCCAGCUGGAGCAGGGGUACAUCCUCUCGAGUCAAAGGAAGAUCCCAGGGAUGAGACGGCACCUGGGAUGACUGCAUACCCUUGAAGUGAAGAUAGGACUAUGACACUCGCUUUGGACAAUGAAACGUAUGGCCUGGACCCUCUGCACUGCUACCUAUCAAGUCUGAACCUGUUAACAAAGAUUCGGGGAAGAAUAGCGACCGUAAUUUCAUAGACUUUCUGUCUGGACUUACCCACAACCAUCCGGAUAUAAAUGUUGCCCUGUCCUGUUACCCACGCUAUGAGCCUCUGCUUAGACUGUGUUGUCCAAGUUCCACGCCUCUGCUCUGCUGUUCGCAGACUACACUGCAGGUCUCUCUAUAGCAUGUGAAUUUAUGCACAGAUCUAGAUGUGUGCACCAAACACCAAGGAAAUUCACCAAAAGUCCUACGGUUCUCUGCUUCUGUUUUUACCAAAGAUUUCAACUACGUCUAUGGCUUUUGGACAAUGACUUUCGGAUCCCAGCAGGUUUUACUGAUGACACCUGGGCUUAAUAGAAAUCACGUGAACUGGUCAGGAUCCUGUGCUCUCUGCUGCCCACUGUAGAUGAGGUCCCCAUCGAGAUACAGAAGGAGAACACGGCCCGGGUGCCCCGGAGGCCCAACCCCAAGAUAAUGGCUGGUUGGGGAAGAAGGAGUCAUACGAGCCAGGAGAGAGAGAGAGACAGAGACAGAGCAUGAGCAGGGGAGGGACAGAGAGAGA